UUAGUCCUGGUCUAGUCCUGGUCUAGUCCUGGUCUAGUCCUGAUUCAGUCCUGGUCUAGUCCUGGUUCAGUCUUGGUCUAGUCCUGGUCUAGUCUUGGUCUAAGUCUUUGUCUCUGCAGGAGUCCGUCGCGCCGACAGCGAUGUUUCUUAUUCGUCCAAUCAGAUUAACUCUGACAGAAGCCCGGCCAAUCAGAGGUCUCAGAGCCUGGAGAACGACAGCCGAGGGCCCGCCCCCCAACCCAGGCCUCGCACUUCAUUGGUGGGUGGGGGGAGAGGCGGGGUCAGGGCGAGAGGGGGCGGGGCUGGAGGCAGCGUCACCACGGUGAUUGAGUGCGUGGUGGCCCCUCCCCCCAUCGCCGCGGUGACGGAGCGCGUGGUGGCGAUGUACGACUGCGACGCCGACCACGGAGACGAGCUGAGCUUCAGAGAAGGACAAAUCCUCAUGGUCCACGAGAAACCAGAUCCGGACUGGUGGGUUGGUUCUGUAAUUGAUGCUCCAGAUCAGAGAGGACUGUUCCCUGCUUCAUUUGUCCAAGAACUCGACUGAGACCAGAGACCAGACCAGAGACCAGAGACCAGAGACCAGAGACCAGACCAGACCAGAGACCAGAGACCAGACCAGAGACCAGAGACCAGACCAGGUUUUGAGGUGUUGCAGCAUUUGGACCAAUCAUAUUCCUCGCUGCAGGUCACAUGAUCGUCUCUGUUCAGUUUGGACCAAAUCUUCUCUAAUUUAU